rnacentral:rRNA from 1 species
GCGAACCAUCGAGUCUUUGAACGCAAGUUGCGCCCGAGGCCACCUGGCCGAGGGCACGCCUGCCUGGGCGUCAC